GGCUCGUGAUCCUCCUGCCUUGGCCUCCCAAAGCACUGGGAAUAUAGGUGUGAGCCACCGAGCCCAGCUGACUUACGUCUUUAAAUUCUUAGCAGACCUACUUGUGCUUUCCUCCUUCGCCUCUGGCCCUGGGUGUCCUCUCUGAGAAGGGACGAUGACAGCCCUCUGCUCUGAGGAACUGGCUCAGUUGCCUGUCACUUGGAUGAUGCCCCAUGCUGUAGCUUUGGACAUCUCCAUCAGCACCGCAUCCCCUGCCUUGCAGCAUCUGACAUAAUGAGAUGAGCUCUCACCAUGUUUCCUAGACUGGUCUAGAAUGCCUAGGCUCAAGCGAUCCUCCCUCCUCAGCCUCCCAAAGUGGUGGUAUUACAGGCGUGAGCCAUUGUACCCAGCCUCCAAAUCUUCACCAGCCCUCAAAAUUAAGCUCAACUUCUGUCUCCUCCAAGAAUUUUACACAGGAUUCCAAUCUGGAGGGAUCAGUUUCCUACAAGUGUAGACUUUAUUGACUCUUCCACCAUUUGGUCUCCUAUGUUACCAUCAGGAAAAAUUAAUGAAAGACUUUCAAAUGGACGAAAAAAGAGUAAAUGCCACUGAAUGUCCAACCUAGAGCACUCUUCCAGUUUAUUACUGCCUUCCAUUGCCUUUGAGCCAUGUUACAACUCUGUAAGUCAGAGAGAACUGAUAAUAGUGCAAAUGAUUUGAGUUCAUAGAAAUGCAAAUUCCUUGUGUCCCGUGGAGUGUACGCGAUGGUUGCCCUGUGGAUAAACUUCCUCUGCAAGUUCAUUUCAGCCUCCUGUUGACUUACACGUGUGUGGUUUUUGGACUUUUCCUUUUAACCAGUUAGAACAUCUUAACUACUUCCCAUUAAUUAAUUAGUUAAAUAAAAUUUUUAUAUUUUAA